rnacentral:SRP_RNA from 1 species
AGCUGGGUCCUGCUCAAUGGGAUGCUACCGAAUUCGGUCAGGUCUGGAAGGAAGCAGCCGUAGGUAUGUAUUCCCGUGUGCUGCAGGGAAGCCUGGCUGGA